rnacentral:rRNA from 1 species
UUUAAAUUUAGAGUUUGAUCCUGGCUCAGGACGAACGCUGGCGGCGUGCUUAACACAUGCAAGUCGAGCGAUGAAGCUUCCUUCGGGGAGUGGAUUAGCGGCGGACGGGUGAGUAACACGUGGGUAACCUGCCUCAAAGUGGGGGAUAGCCUUCCGAAAGGAAGAUUAAUACCGCAUAAUAUAAGAGAAUCGCAUGAUUUUCUUAUCAAAGAUUUAUUGCUUUGAGAUGGACCCGCGGCGCAUUAGCUAGUUGGUAAGGUAACGGCUUACCAAGGCAACGAUGCGUAGCCGACCUGAGAGGGUGAUCGGCCACAUUGGAACUGAGACACGGUCCAGACUCCUACGGGAGGCAGCAGUGGGGAAUAUUGCGCAAUGGGGGAAACCCUGACGCAGCAACGCCGCGUGGGUGAUGAAGGUCUUCGGAUUGUAAAGCCCUGUUUUCUAGGACGAUAAUGACGGUACUAGAGGAGGAAGCCACGGCUAACUACGUGCCAGCAGCCGCGGUAAUACGUAGGUGGCGAGCGUUGUCCGGAUUUACUGGGCGUAAAGGGUGCGUAGGCGGAUGUUUAAGUGGGAUGUGAAAUCCCCGGGCUUAACCUGGGGGCUGCAUUCCAAACUGGAUAUCUAGAGUGCAGGAGAGGAAAGCGGAAUUCCUAGUGUAGCGGUGAAAUGCGUAGAGAUUAGGAAGAACACCAGUGGCGAAGGCGGCUUUCUGGACUGUAACUGACGCUGAGGCACGAAAGCGUGGGUAGCAAACAGGAUUAGAUACCCUGGUAGUCCACGCCGUAAACGAUGGAUACUAGGUGUAGGGGGUAUCAACUCCCCCUGUGCCGCAGUUAACACAAUAAGUAUCCCGCCUGGGGAGUACGGUCGCAAGAUUAAAACUCAAAGGAAUUGACGGGGGCCCGCACAAGCAGCGGAGCAUGUGGUUUAAUUCGAAGCAACGCGAAGAACCUUACCUGGACUUGACAUCCCUUGCAUAGCCUAGAGAUAGGUGAAGCCCUUCGGGGCAAGGAGACAGGUGGUGCAUGGUUGUCGUCAGCUCGUGUCGUGAGAUGUUAGGUUAAGUCCUGCAACGAGCGCAACCCUUGUUAUUAGUUGCUACCAUUAAGUUGAGCACUCUAAUGAGACUGCCUGGGUAACCAGGAGGAAGGUGGGGAUGACGUCAAAUCAUCAUGCCCCUUAUGUCCAGGGCUACACACGUGCUACAAUGGUAGGUACAAUAAGACGCAAGACCGUGAGGUGGAGCAAAACUUAUAAAACCUAUCUCAGUUCGGAUUGUAGGCUGCAACUCGCCUACAUGAAGCUGGAGUUGCUAGUAAUCGCGAAUCAGAAUGUCGCGGUGAAUACGUUCCCGGGCCUUGUACACACCGCCCGUCACACCAUGAGAGCUGGUAACACCCGAAGUCCGUGAGGUAACCGUAAGGAGCCAGCGGCCGAAGGUGGGAUUAGUGAUUGGGGUGAAGUCGUAACAAGGUAGCCGUAGGAGAACCUGCGGCUGGAUCACCUCCUUUCUA